rnacentral:antisense_RNA from 1 species
UGAAAUAAAUCUUUACCGCAUCUUUAGAAAAUUUACUAAUAAUUAAUUUUUAAAUCUUUUAUUUUAGGAUGUUUUAUUAGAAGUGGUGGCCCCGAAUGGACUCGAACCAUCGACCACUACCA